rnacentral:rRNA from 1 species
UACAGAGGUCCCAAGCGUUGUUCGGAUUCACUGGGCGUAAAGGGUGCGUAGGCGGGUCUUUAAGUCAGGGGUGAAAUCCUGGAGCUCAACUCCAGAACUGCCUUUGAUACUGGCGAUCUUGAGUCCGGGAGAGGUGAGUGGAACUGCGAGUGUAGAGGUGAAAUUCGUAGAUAUUCGCAAGAACACCAGUGGCGAAGGCGGCUCACUGGUCCGGUACUGACGCUGAGGUGCGAAAGCGUGGGGAGCAAACAGG